AUUGAACGCUGGCGGCAUGCUUUACACAUGCAAGUCGAACGGUAGAGGGGGCAACCCCUUGAGAGUGGCGAACGGGUGAGUAAUGCAUCGGAACGCGCCCAGUCGUGGGGGAUAACGCAGCGAAAGCUGCGCUAAUACCGCAUACGAUCUCUGGAUGAAAGCGGGGGACCUUGUAGCAAUACGGGGCCUCGCGCGAUUGGAGCGGCCGAUGUCAGAUUAGGUAGUUGGUGGGGUAAAGGCUCACCAAGCCAACGAUCUGUAGCUGGUCUGAGAGGACGACCAGCCACACUGGGACUGAGACACGGCCCAGACUCCUACGGGAGGCAGCAGUGGGGAAUUUUGGACAAUGGGCGCAAGCCUGAUCCAGCAAUGCCGCGUGCAGGAAGAAGGCCUUCGGGUUGUAAACUGCUUUUGUACGGAACGAAAAGGUCUGGGUUAAUACCCUGGGCACAUGACGGUACCGUAAGAAUAAGCACCGGCUAACUACGUGCCAGCCGCCGCCGUAACAC
rnacentral:rRNA from 1 species